GGGGGGGGAUGCAAGCGUUAUCCGGAAUCACUGGGCGUAAAGCGUCUGUAGGUGGUGAUGCAAGUCACUGGUGCAAAACUCUGGCUCAACCGGAGGAAAGCCAGUGAAACUGCAUGACUAGAGUGUGGGAGAGGUAGAAGGAAUUCCCUGAGUAGCGGUGAAAUGCGUAGAUACAGGGAAGAACACCGGAGGCGAAAGCGUUCUACUGGAACACAACUGACACUGAGAGACGACAGCUAGGGGAGCGAAUGGG
rnacentral:rRNA from 1 species